GAUGAACGCUGGCGGCGUGCCUAAUACAUGCAAGUCGAGCGAACGGACGAGAAGCUUGCUUCUCUGAUGUUAGCGGCGGACGGGUGAGUAACACGUGGAUAACCUACCUAUAAGACUGGGAUAACUUCGGGAAACCGGAGCUAAUACAGGAUAAUAUUUUGAACCGCAUGGUUCAAAAGUGAAAGACGGCCUUGCUGUCACUUAUAGAUGGAUCCGCGCUGCAUUAGCUAGUUGGUAAGGUAACGGCUUACCAAGGCAACGAUGCAUAGCCGACCUGAGAGGGUGAUCGGCCACACUGGAACUGAGACACGGUCCAGACUCCUACGGGAGGCAGCAGUAGGGAAUCUUCCGCAAUGGGCGAAAGCCUGACGGAGCAACGCCGCGUGAGUGAUGAAGGUCUUCGGAUCGUAAAACUCUGUUAUUAGGGAAGAACAUAUGUGUAAGUAACUGUGCACAUCUUGACGGUACCUAAUCAGAAAGCCACGGCUAACUACGUG
rnacentral:rRNA from 1 species